GGGUCUCACAACAAACAUCCUUUUUAUUUGACCCAUCACAAGGCAUUUCACAAAAUCUUUAUUUGGUGUAAUGUAACUUUAGAAUUUCUCAGUUUAAAAGAUAACUGCUAUGUUACUAAUUUACGUAGAGUGGUAGAGAGGAUUAUUGACUAUUUGCAGAAUGAAGAGUUCAGAGAGGAAAUAAAUGAAGAAGUGAAAUGACGAAGACGAUAAAGGAGCAAGGAAUUUUUAUUUGGUGAGGACUAGAAAUGCGAGGAUGCCUGUACAAUAAAUAAUUAUUAUAGAACCAAUUGUUCUGUUGAUUUUUAAAAUAAUUUCUUGCAUUUUUCUGAUCUGAUUUGUAUCCUAUGUGAUGUUUUGUUGCAGGUCAAAGGCUAGAACAAGUUAUCAUACUUACAGGGAGGAAAGAAGGACUGAAAUGAGGGCCUCUACUUCAGAGAACAGGGGUGAAGUUGCCAGGCAUGACUGUCCGUCACCCAGGAGACAAAGCCCCACCCAUAAAGUGGUGACUCGAGGCGCAAGGGAGUCCGGCGAGAAGUGUGGCGGGCCCAGGUUGCUGCCAGUUCUUUUAGGAUCACCGAGCAGGGUACGCCUUCCCCUGCCCCAAGAUGUGUCAUGGAUUUCGGCUUUUCUGGGACUACCUGAGUGGCUGUAAGUAUGGGGGGACCGUUCCUCUUGCUGAGAAGCCUGGGGGCUCUGAGUUCCCCUGGGUUC
rnacentral:lncRNA from 1 species